GAAUCUUGUCACUUGGGUUCUCAAAUGGCAAGCUUAGAGAUCGGGGCUCUGAGUGGAAAGAGCUUUCAAGAUAAUCUAGUUUAAUGACCCUGGAUCUUUGCCCUUGCUUGCCUGCAGACUGUGUCGAGGCCAGCUGCCUCAUGGCCCUCUCAUGCUCUGCUCGCAGAUGCUUCUGGACAGAAUUAUCAAGCAUGGAGUGAUUAAAGGAACUGAUGUCCAGAGAAACAAAGAAGCUUGCCAGAAGUUACCCAAGUAGCAAGUGUCAGAGGUGGUCUCUGUGAGUGAGUGAUCUCUUAUCAGGGAAUUCUUAGCUUUGACUUGGCCCUAGGCUUCUGAACCUGAAAUUGCAACUCAUUCAGACUAAUUCUCUGGAAUAUGAAAGCAUGAAUCCAAUGGGGGCCUGGAUAUUCCUUUCAGCAUCCAGAGGAUAUCUCCACAUUUUGGCCUCUAGAAAUUUAGAGACAAAAUUCAUGUUGUUGAUACAGCAACUGAAGAAAAGAUGAGACAGUUCAUUCCACCCAAGUCAAACCACCAUCAACAACAACUCAACCAUCACUUCCUCUACAACAUGAAAUAUCUUCAGGAGAUUCUGAACCCUGGAAUCUAGAACUCUGUACUUAGUAGUCUUGGAAAUAGCAACAACCUAAGGGUUACCAAUAUUAUUUCUAGUCUGGGCCAUAAUUAAAGAGAGAAAUCACUGAAAAUAAGGUGCCCACCUUAUCUGCCACUGUCAAUAUCUGUUGCUGAUUGGCUGCCAACAAUGGGCAAGAAAGCCUAACAGCUCUGGAAGUGACAGCAUCCUCUACACCAAUGGUCCUGUUUCCAGCUCCUUACUUGCAAUCAUCAUCCUCGGAAGCAAUCCCUGUGGAGAAAACGCCUGAUGACUGCCUCAAGUUCAGAGGAAGAAGAGAUGGCUUCCAGAGGGGAGAAUCAGAUGAAUUUAAAGCAAGUCAAAAGAUCAAUUCAUCAGCAUGUAAAAAAGAAGGAGCCAUCAGGACCAGGAAGAUUUAACCCUUUCUGACAUUCCUGUACUGGUUCCCAUAUCAGGACUGUUCACCUGGAGCUCACUGGCUGUCUUCAAUCAAAGGGAUGCUAUCUGGCUAUAAGUCCUGGAAUCCUGAAAUCUCUAAAGAAUCAAAAUUGUACCCAACCCAAAGGGCAAUGGAGAGUAUAAAUAGGCUCAAUAUUACCCAUAGUGACCUGCACAAAAGAAACGGCAUAAAAUACAUCAUCCAGUUAAUGGACAAUCAGAAAAGGAGACGGGAUUGUCAUUUAAUGAGAUUGAGAGAUAAUAAAUAGAUGGUCCAAGAGCUAUAUUGAUAUCAAGAGAAUAUUGAAUUGGUAUGGAGGGAGACCUAAGCAAUUGGGUAAAUUCUACACAGGACUUAUGGGAGAUUGUGGACAAGUUUGAAACAGAGCAAAAAGACAUAUAAAGGUUGUAAUCUGUACCACUGAUGGAAAUGUCUAUGUUGAUGAGAUCACUGAUCUAUUAAAAUAUUUAGUCAUUAAAGUAUUGAAAAUUGAAUAGAUUUUGAUAGGCUCAUCACAUUAAGCUAUGUAGAGUUUGUUGGGAAUUAAAUUACAAAUUGUUUUUUCAUGAAGAGGGAAAGGAAUAGGCAUUUAUUAAGUAACUGCUAUGUGACAGGCACUGAGAUAAAUUCUUUAAAAAUAUCUCAUUUGAUUCUCAUAAUCUCCCUAUGAGCUAAAUCUUAUGAUUUCUAUUUUAUAGUUGAAGAUAUUGAGCCAGUCAAAGGUUAAGUGGUUUCCCCAGGAUCACUCAGCUAGUAGGUAUUUGAGGUCAAAUUUGAAUUCAGUUCUUCCUGACUCCAGAGUAUUAUCCAGCUCUAUCCAUUAAACCAACUAGCUGUUUCUAUUUGGUUGUAUCUUUUCCCCCCUUUUAUUAAACCCUUCCCUUCCAUCUUAGAAUCAAUACCAUGUAUUGGUUCCAAGGCAGAAGAGCAGUAAGGGUGAGGCAAUGGGGUUAAGUGACUUGCCCAGGAUGACACAGCUAGGAAGUGUCUGAAAUCAGAUUUGAACUUGGGACCUUCCAUCUCUAGGCCUGGCUAUCAAUACAUGGAGUCACCUAGCUGCCCCGGUUGUAUCUUCCUUAUCCCAUACUUAUACAGUUGUAGUUGUUUUUUAGCCUAACAGCAAUAUUUUACAUGAAACCUUAUUAACUUUAAAAAUCACAUUUGUUCUGUUAUUUCAUAUUUGCCAAAUCUUUUUGGAUCCCUUUCCUCCCAUGUAGCUUGUGAGUUGUCUCUCCCAGAGAAUAGAACAAAUAUGUCCUCCACAAAUUUGAUAAGAA